rnacentral:rRNA from 1 species
UGGGGAAUAUUGCGCAAUGGGGGAAACCCUGACGCAGCAACGCCGCGUGAAGGAAGAAGGUUCUCGGAUUGUAAACUUCUUUUACUCGGGACGAAAAAAUGACGGUACCGGGUGAAUAAGCCACGGCUAACUACGUGCCAGCAGCCGCGGUAAUACGUAGGUGGCAAGCGUUGUCCGGAUUUACUGGGUGUAAAGGGCGAGUAGGCGGGACUGCAAGUCAGUAGUGAAAUACCACGGCUCAACCGUGGCACUGCUAUUGAAACUGUGGUUCUUGAGUAAUGGAGAGGCAGGCGGAAUUCCCGGUGUAGCGGUGGAAUGCGUAGAGAUCGGGAGGAACACCAGUGGCGAAGGCGGCCUGCUGGACAUCAACUGACGCUGAGGAGCGAAAGCGUGGGGAGC